AACGAACGCUGGCGGCAGGCUUAACACAUGCAAGUCGAACGGUUGUAGCAAUACAGCAGUGGCAGACGGGUGAGUAACACGUGGGAACCUUCCUAGGGGUACGGAACAACUCAGGGAAACUUGAGCUAAUACCGUAUACGUCCGUGAGGAGAAAGUUUUAACGCCCCUAGACGGGCCCGCGUAGGAUUAGGUAGUUGGUGAGGUAACGGCUCACCAAGCCUACGAUCCUUAGCUGAUCUGAGAGGANGAUCAGCCACACUGGGACUGAGACACGGCCCAGACUCCUACGGGAGGCAGCA
rnacentral:rRNA from 1 species